rnacentral:rRNA from 1 species
UACGUAGGGUGCAAGCGUUUGUCCGGAAUUAUUGGGCGUAAAGAGCUCGUAGGCGGUUUGUCGCGUCUGCUGUGAAAACUCGGGGCUUAACCCCGGGCCUGCAGUGGGUACGGGCAGACUAGAGUGCGGUAGGGGGAGACUGGAAUUCCGUGGUGUAGGCGGUGAAAAUGCGCAGAUAUCAGGAGGAACACCGGUGGCGAAGGCGGGUCUCUGGGACGGUACUGACGCUGAGACGCGAAAGCGUGGGGAGCGAACAGG